rnacentral:rRNA from 1 species
CAGUCGCCACGGUAAUACAGAGGGUGCAAGCGUUAAUCGGAAUUACUGGGCGUAAAGCGCGCGUAGGUGGUUUGUUAAGUUGGAUGUGAAAUCCCCGGGCUCAACCUGGGAACUGCAUCCAAAACUGGCAAGCUAGAGUAUGGUAGAGGGUGGUGGAAUUUCCUGUGUAGCGGUGAAAUGCGUAGAUAUAGGAAGGAACACCAGUGGCGAAGGCGACCACCUGGACUGAUACUGACACUGAGGUGCGAAAGCGUGGGGAGCAAACAGGAUUAGAUACCCCAGUAGUCCCUGUCUCUUAUAC